rnacentral:rRNA from 1 species
CACUGCCGAGAAAAGCCUCUAGAUAGAAAAUAGGUGCCCGUACCGCAAACCGACACAGGUAGUCAAGAUGAGAAUUCUAAGGUGAGCGAGCGAACUCUCGUUAAGGAACUCGGCAAAAUGACCCCGUAACUUCGGGAGAAGGGGUGCUCUUUAGGGUUAACGCCCAGAAGAGCCGCAGUGAAUAGGCCCAAGCGACUGUUUAUCAAAAACACAGGUCUCUGCUAAACCGUAAGGUGAUGUAUAGGGGCUGACGCCUGCCCGGUGCUGGAAGGUUAAGAGGAGUGGUUAGCUUCUGCGAAGCUACGAAUCGAAGCCCCAGUAAACGGCGGCCGUAACUAUAACGGUCCUAAGGUAGCGAAAUUCCUUGUCGGGUAAGUUCCGACCCGCACGAAAGGCGUAACGAUUUGGGCACUGUCUCAACGAGAGACUCGGUGAAAUCAUAGUACCUGUGAAGAUGCAGGUUACCCGCGACAGGACGGAAAGACCCCGUGGAGCUUUACUGUAGCCUGAUAUUGAAAUUCGGCACAGCUUGUACAGGAUAGGUAGGAGCCUUUGAAACGUGAGCGCUAGCUUACGUGGAGGCGCUGGUGGGAUACUACCCUAGCUGUGUUGGCUUUCUAACCCGCACCACUUAUCGUGGUGGGAGACAGUGUCA